CUUAAAGGUCAAAUACAGGCAGUGACUCCUGCACAGUUGACUCCCGUCACAUUGUCUUGACAGUGUCCUGGAAAAGACAGUGUCCUGGAAAAUAUUGUGUCCUGGAAAAAUACUGUUUUGGGGCGAUGGGGAGGAGAUGGGGGGUGUAGCAGAUGAGGGGGAGAUGAGGUGGACAGUGAGAGGACCAGAGGUGGUGUGAGAGAGAUGAGAUGAGGGGGACAGUGAGAGGACCAGAGGUGGUGUGAGAGAGAUGAGAUGAGAUGAGGGGGACAGUGAGAGGACCAGAGGUGGUGUGAGAGAGAUGAGAUGAGAUGAGGGGGACAGUGAGAGGACCAGAGGUGGUGUGAGAGAGAUGAGAUGAGGGGGACAGUGAGAGGACCAGAGGUGGUGUGAGAGAGAGGGAGAUGAGAUGAGGAGGGCAGUGAGAUGAUCAGAGGUGGUGUGAGAGAGAUGAGAUGAGGGGGACAGUGAGAGGACCAGAGGUGGUGUGAGAGAGAUAGAGAUGAGAUGAGAUGAGAUGAGGGGGACAGUGAGAGGACCAGAGGUGGUGUGAGAGAGAGGGAGAUGAGAUGAGAUGAGGGGGACAGUGAGAGGACCAGAGGUGGUGUGAGAGAGAUGAGAUGA
rnacentral:lncRNA from 1 species